rnacentral:rRNA from 1 species
AGUGAACGCUGGCGGCAGGCCUAACACAUGCAAGUCGAACGGCAGCACAAGAGAGCUUGCUCUCUGGGUGGCGAGUGGCGGACGGGUGAGGAAUGCAUCGGAAUCUGCCCAUUUGUGGGGGAUAACCUCGGGAAACCGGGACUAAUACCGCAUACGACCUACGGGUGAAAGCAGGGGAUCUUCGGACCUUGCGCAGAUGGAUGAGCCGAUGCCGGAUUAGCUAGUUGGAGGGGUAAAGGCCCACCAAGGCGACGAUCCGUAGCUGGUCUGAGAGGAUGAUCAGCCACACUGGGACUGAGACACGGCCCAGACUCCUACGGGGGGCAGCAGUGGGGAAUAUUGGACAAUGGGCGCAAGCCUGAUCCAGCCACGCCGCGUGUGUGAAGAAGGCCUUCGGGUUGUAAAGCACUUUUGUUGGGAAAGAAAAGCAGCCGGUUAAUACCCGGUUGUCAUGACGGUACCCAAAGAAUAAGCACCGGCUAACUUCGUG